rnacentral:lncRNA from 13 species
CAAGAAGAUGGAUGUAGAGCACCAGAUACUCAGAGACGCAUCUCUUCCUUAACGUCAAUGGAACUACAGCUGCUUGACGGGGGAAUAACCCCAAUCAUGACCCUUCAACCUCGUUUUAUCCAUCCAGUAAUCUCGAAGUGGUAAACCCUCUCUAGAACGCAAAACCACAACAAACAAAUCUAACCUCAGGACUUCGUAGAUCAAAAAGAGAGAUAACAGCAAGCUCAGCACCAAUGCGUCUUGUGCUGGCCACUCCAAGGAAAUUUGCCGCAAACGAAAUGCUGUUACACUUUUAAGCAUCACGUUUCGACUGUGGGAAUUUUUGAAAGGUGAAGUGAUGGGUAUAUAACAUGAAAGAACAGGUGCAGACUGUCAAACUACAGUUCUGAUUCUCUGCUCUUCUCUUCGCCGUUAUUUACGACUCUAAACAAUAAGACCGAAAAGAUGCGCGCUGUGAUUUUGGUGACGGUUGGUCUGUUGGCGCUGAUUGGACACCUGGAUGGACGCGCUCAUGGCGAGAAACGACGCGACAGACCAAACUGUCUCCAACGGACGGUCUCUCCCAGACUGAUCAAGGAAUUACUCAACAAAACACAAACUCUCACUAACUCUUUACCAACGUUCCCCAGAAAAAUAUAUGAAAGACUUCUGCCCAAAAUCUGUACAACGUGUGCUAAGAAACAACUUGGCAUCUGGGAAAUCAACAAGAUAUUGGAUGUCUAUUCCAACGUGUUCAACCAGAAAUCUUUGGAAGGUCUCUACCCCAAACACUUUGAGGAUCUCCUGGCAAGGCUGAAAACUGAUGUGCAAUCUUGUGUGAGUAUUGAACUUUAAGAUAGUUCUUUAUUUGACCACCUGUUAGAGGAAAUGUCAUUUCUGUUCAUCUGUUCUGUUGUAUUGUCAUCACAUGUUAAGGCUAAACACUGACAGUGGUGUAGCUUCAAUGAGGCUAACAGAGGUGUAUGACUUCCUCAAGAGCCGAUGCAAAUCCCACAGUUAGAAUAGAUACCACUUUAUUACUGUAUGUAAUCAGCAAUGUUAAUAUUAUGAAUAUUAUAAUAUGUAAUAUUCAUAAAUAUUCAAGGAACAUUUUAAUUAAUGUUAACAUGAUGAACAGGAACUACAUUUACACUAACGGGUGACCAAAAAUAAUAGUCUGAAAGCCUCCAAUCAGCC